AAUAUUUAUUCUCUUUAAGGCAGGUAUUGUCACAGACAUAAAUCAACUGGUGAUUGCAUUGCGUUCAGAAGCAGCUUUAUCCUGGUGUAUGAAGCUUCCAGGUGAUGGUUUCAUCACAGAGAGCAGAGAACAGGGCAGAAUGGAUCGAUCUCCAGGGACACAAUACGUUGUUGUUUGCAAAGAGGAUAUCGUCCACAUCGCUGUAUAUGAAGUCCUGGAAGCAGGAGAACUGAAAGAGCUGCAAAGAGCUUCUUAUAAAGACCUGGGGA